AUACGGAGGAUCCGAGCGUUAUCCGGAUUUAUUGGGUUUAAAGGGAGCGUAGGUGGACAGUUAAGUCAGUUGUGAAAGUUUGCGGCUCAACCGUAAAAUUGCAGUUGAUACUGGCUGUCUUGAGUACAGUAGAGGUGGGCGGAAUUCGUGGUGUAGGGGUGGAAUGCUUAGAUAUCACGAAGAACUCCGAUUGCGAAGGCAGCUCACUGGACUGCAACUGACACUGAUGCUCGAAAGUGUGGGUAUCAAACAGGAUUAGAUACCCUGGUAGUCCACACAGUAAACGAUGAAUACUCGCUGUUUGCGAUAUACAGUAAGCGGCCAAGCGAAAGCAUUAAGUAUUCCACCUGGGGAGUACGCCGGCAACGGUGAAACUCAAAGGAAUUGACGGGG
rnacentral:rRNA from 1 species